AUUAUACCAAAUGUGUGGGUGGUUACAAUGACAUUAUACAUUUGGUCAUCACCCAUUAGUGGGCCUCACUGUCCUAAUCCAGCGUGGAUUAGGAUGCUUAGUGCUGGUCCCACUAUUCCUGCUCGGUAUUGAAUAGGACAUAGAGAGUUCCAAUAUCUUUAGAGUUGGUUGAGUAAGCAUUAGACUGUAAAUCUAAACACAGAAAUUAAGCCCUCUUUUUAUCAAGCCUUAAGAUGAUAAUCAUGAUGAAUUGCAAAUUUGAAGUUGUAGAGAAAUUACUAAGGCUUCUCCCACCCCCUUUCUGAUAGGUAGGAGUAGAUGGAAGCCAGAAGUAGGGUAUUUAGCUGUUAAUUACAUUUUCGUAGGUUUGAUUCCUGCCAAUCUAGUUAAGGUCUUAGCUUAAUUAAAGUGAUUGAUUUACAUUCAGUAGAUGUAGGAUAUAGUCUUAUCAGAAGUUAAACUUGUUCGUUUUCUUGGACUUCGAUAUCCUAAACUUCUACAUGAUUAGUUGGGAUGAAAGGGGGAGGGCAACUGUACUUAUAAUUUUUAGGGAGGGAAAAUAAAGUUGUGUUUGAAGUUUAUGUGGUGGGUAAUUAUUUUGGGGUUAUUGUUGGUUGGAAAGAUGGUAAGUAAAAUUUAAUAAAUGAGACAUAUAUAAAAGAAUAGAUGUAACACUGCUAUUGAGGCUAUUAGCGUUCCUAGGAUGAGGCAGUUAUUUUGUAGAAGUUCUGUGAUGAUACUUCAUUUUGGGAGAAAGCCUAGAAGAGGGGGAUGCCUCUCCUAGGGAUAGCAGAAUUAAAGAGGUUGUUAAUAGAAUUAUUGGUAUUUUGUUUCAUAGGAAUGAAAUUGAGUUAAUUGUUGUGGAUGAAGGCUAUAAGUGGAAUAAAUAUUGGAACUGUAAGGAUAAUAUAAAUAAUUAAGUUAAGUUAGGGUGGGGUUGUAAAUGAGGAUGGCCAUUAUUCAUCCUGUGUGGGUAAUUGGUGAAUAUGCUAUAAUUUUUCACAUUUGUGUAUGCUUAAGUCCACCUCAUGUUCCUAUGAGAAUUGCUUGGUUAGUUUCUGCUAAGGUGGAAAUAAGUCUUAUUAUAGCUAUGGCUCAGGCUGGUGUAAUAAGUCAUAUGUGUUCUUGGGUGGCGAUGAGUAUAGGAAAAAUGAGCCGCUUAUUAGGAGGAUUGAAAGUAGAAUAAUGGCUAUUGUUAUUUCUUACGAGAUUGUUUGGACUAUAAUUCGAAGGGCUCCAGGUAGGGAGUAUUUUGAGUUUGAUGCUCAUCCAGAUCAUGAGAUGAAAUAUACUGAAAGGCUUGAUGUUGCUAGAAUAAAUAAAAUUCCUAGAUUUAAAUUGAUUAGGGGUGUACUGUGGGUAAUUGAAUUCAUAGACUUAGGGCUAAUGUCAAUGACAGGGUUGGGGCAAUAAUAAAUAAUGAUACUGAGGUCGUUAGGGGGAGUAUCAGUUCUUUUAUGAAAAGUUUAUUUUAAAGAUUUAUUUUUUAUUUUAUGUAUAUGAGUACACUGUAGCUGUACAGAUAGUUGUGAGCCAUCAUGUGGUUGCUGGGAAUUGAACUCAGGACCUCUGCUCUGCUCUCUCUGGGCCAAAGAUUUAUUUAUUGUUAUAUGUAAGUACAUUGUAGCUGUCUUCAGAUACUCCAGAAGAGGGCAUCCGAUCUCAUUAUGGAUGGUUGUGAGCCACCAUGUUGUUUCUGGGAUUUGAAAUCAGGACCUUCAGAAGAGCAGUCAGUGCUCUUAACUGCUGAGUCAUCUCUCCAGCCCUUAUGAAAAGUUUUAUAGCAUCUGCAGAUGGUUGGAGAAUUCCAAAAUGGCCCAACAAUGUUGGGAACUUUUCGUAAUUGUAUAUACUCUAUGAUUUUACAUUCUAAAAGUAGAAUGUAAAAAUAGCAAUUAGAAUGGGGACUAGAAAUGUUAAUACAUUAAUAAAAUGCAUCUGAACUUCUGGGAACAAGCUUUUAAGUCUUACACAAUUUCCUGGCUCUGCCACCCUAAUUACCUUGUCCAGGUAAAUUAUUGAACAUAUAUAAAUUUAUUUAAGAGCAUUUAUUAUAAGGUAGCUCUAUUUCUCGUAUCCUUUUUACUGGGAGAAAUUGUAAAUAGAAACCGACCUGAAACCUCCAGUCUGAACUCAGAUCAUGUAGGACUUCAAUCGUUGAACAAAUGAGUCAUUAAUAGCUUCUGCACCAUUGACAAGUCCAACAUUGAGGUUGUAAACCCUAAUUGUUGAUAUGAACUCUUGAAUAGGAUUGUGCUGUUGUCCCUAGGGUAACUUGGUCUGUUGAUCAAAAACACUUUUGGGUCAAUAAUAAGUUCAUUUGAGUUGUAGGUCUAUGUUAAAAUCUUUCAAAGGAUUUGGCUCUCAGAGGUUACCCCAUUCCAAAUCUUUCAAAAUUUGAUUGUGAACCAUUAGGUUGAUUUAUUAAUAAUUAAACUAGUUGACUAAUUCUCCAUGGGGUCUUCUUGUCUUAUAUUAUUCCAGCCUCUUUACUGGAAGGUCAAUUUCACUCAUUGAAAAUAAGAGACAAUUGAACCCUCAUUCUAGUCCCUAAUUAAGGACUAAGUAAUUAUGUUACCUUUGCACAGUCAGGAUACUGCAGCAGUUUAACAUUAGUCACUGGGUAGGCAAUGCCUCUAAUGGUUAUAUUUCUUUUAAUCUUUCCUUAAAGCACCCCUGUGUUGGACUAAUAGAUUUGGGUUAGGUAAAUUAAUUGGAGGAAUAAUUAAUACCUAUGGUCUGAUAACUUCCAAGUUGUUAACACAUCUGUGCUAGAAUUACUCAUUACUCAUAUCAACAGUAUUUCAUCUAUAAAAUUAAUAGGUUAACAGCUAUCAACCAAACUUUUCACCCCUACCUAAAAAUUUUGCUACAUAAAUUAUCUUUUGGUUUUACGAGACAGGUUUUCUCUGUGUAGUCCUGUCUGUCCUGGAACUCACUCUGUAGCCCAGGCUGGCCUCGAACACAGAAAUCUGCCUGCUUCUGCCUCCCGAGUGCUGGGAUCAAAGGCGUGCGCCACCAUGCCCAGCUCCCUUAUAAGAUUUCUAUGUCAGAAGUAUCCAGUGACUUUGAUGUUAGCCCACACUGUGAUUAUUCCAAGCACUUUCCAGCACGUUUCCCCUCAUAAAUUAGCUAUUGAAAUUUAUAAUAAAUUUGAGAAGGGUGAUGUGUACUACAUUGCUUUCCCUAACAAAAUACCACAGUAUGGUAUAGGCAAGUAUUGUUCUGACUUCAUGUGGUGAGGGUGCCAAGUAGGUUAGCAGGCAUAUAGUUAUCAGUAUCUCCUAAGUGUAGAAAGGCUACUAAUUGAGAUUGUAUCUGCACCUGCCUAUGGGAUUGUUUUGAGCCUAAUAAGAGAUUCGUUCUACUAGGGCAGCCCCAAUAUAUAGGAUGGCUGAAAGAUGUAAUUAUUUGUCCCUAUGGAAGAACAUAUCCUAUGAAUGCAGUGGCAUUAAUGAUCAGGGGUAGGGUAGUGUGACCUAAAUCAUUUUGUAGUGAACAACAAAAGUUGAGAACAUCACUGUGGGCAAUAUUCAUGGUAUGGCAAUUCCUAGGUCAAAUAGGAAUAGCUACUAGGAAAAAUUUUAUUGAAAAGUCUGCAUUCAUCUCUUUCCAAAAUCUAAUUGAAAUGGACCUGCAAGCCCACCUUUAGGGGGACACCAGUAGUUACCCCAGGCUUUGCUAACCUAGCAUCAUGCAGGACAGUUCUUCUCUGUUAAUCAGGAAACGGAUACUGGCUAUGGUAUAAUGGAAGAACCAGAUCUCACUCUAGUGAGUAAUAGUGACAUCAGCAUCACUGAAACAGAUCUUGCAAACUUAACCCUUGAAGACAGAGAAGACAAUGAAGCACAGUUUUUUCAGGUAAAUGCCUUCACCAAAACUGCUAAAACAGGCUGUUCUUGGGCCAAACAGCCAGACUUUAAAUUUUAAAAGUAAUAAAAAUAAACAUGAGACUGGGAGGUGGGAGGAAAGCAAGAUGCUAGCAAACUCAAAAUGACUUUCUUGGAACUAGGCAGGUGUCGUUCUGCCUACAUCUUCAAUGGAAACCUCUGUUUGUGGAGCUGUAUCAGAGCCUUAUGUGGACCAACCCACAGUGGCACCUUCAGGUAAACCCCUUAUCAGCUUGAGAACAUUAUCAACUCAUGUUGGGAUGAAAGCCACGCAUAAUUUUUCUCAAAUAUUAUAGCUACAUCAGGUAGUUUACAAGAAGCAUUUAUGACAAGACAGACACUUACAGAACGAUCUUACCAGAGGCAGAGAGAGAUCUGGAAUAAAACUCGACUCCCUCAAACCAAAGUAUCCAAAGAGAAGCUACCUACAGGUAUGUAGGGCAUUUUUUCUCUAUUUGGUUUUUAUGACUAAAGGGUGGUGUUUCCCUCUUUGUGAGAAGGGCCACUUAAACUACUUCACUGAAAAUGCUGUCAGCAUCUAAUGAGAUAUCUACUUCUAUGGAUUUCUGUAUAUUGAACCAUCCAGGGAUGAAGCCUACUUCAUCUGCAUUUGUAUUGUUUGGCACAGUAGAGAUUACAAAGACUUUAAGACUCAUCCUUGAGCUUCCUGCAGGGUGUGAAUAAAGUGACUCUUCCUAAAG
rnacentral:lncRNA from 1 species